rnacentral:misc_RNA from 1 species
UGGCUCUGGCAUCGAUGAAGAACGCAGCGAAAUGCGAUAAGUAAUGUGAAUUGCAGAAUCCAGUGAAUCAUCGAAUCUUUGAACGCACAUUGCGCCCCGUGGUAUUCCGCGGGGCAUGCCUAUUCGAGCGUCAUUUCACCACUCGAGUCUGACUCGGUAUUGAGGGCCGCGAUCCGUCGCGCCCUUCCAAGUUUCCGGCUGGGUCGUCCGUCUCCCUGCGUUGUGGCAUCACGUUCUCGCUUGGAGUGCCGGAUGGCGUCGGCCGUUAAACACCCCCAUCAAAGGUUGACCUCGGAUCAGGUAGGGAUACCCGCUGA